UUUCCCCCCAUAUAUUUUCGCUGAAAAAAACCCACAAAACUCCCCCAGUUCCCCCGUUCUCUCUCUCUCUCAUCAGAAACCAGCCCAAACCCCAUUCUCUCUCGCUCUCUCUCAUCUGAACUUGUCGCUGCCUUCGAUGUUCGCCGUCGCCGUCGAGAUCUGGAGUUCGCCGCCACCUUUAUCAACAAAAACCCUAGCCCUGACCUAUCCCCUCUCCUCAUUGAAACCCUAACCUCCUCAUCAAUUUCAUUGGGGGUUUCAACCGCCGUGACCAGGCGGUCGACGGAACCAUCAGUUCAGAUCGUACGGCGACGAUGGAUGCCGCAUCGAUCUCGGAGGCAUUCAAGGGUUUCGAUCUGAACUAGGAGAAUUGAAUGCUUCUGUCCGAUCUAGUCCAUAGAAGUGCCACUCAUCGGCCUAGAGUUCUUACAGUUGAGGACAAGCUGAUGAAUCUCGGAUGCAAGUAAGUUCCCUUUGUGCCUCCUUUUUACAAAUCUGUUGCACAUUUGUACUAAGGU